rnacentral:rRNA from 1 species
ACUAAGCGUACACGGUGGAUGCCCUGGCAGUCAGAGGCGAUGAAGGACGUGCUAAUCUGCGAAAAGCGCCGGCGAGGUGAUAUGAACCUUUGACCCGGCGAUGUCCGAAUGGGGAAACCCAGUGCAAUCCGUUGCACUAUCGUUAACUGAAUACAUAGGUUAACGAGGCGAACCGGGGGAACUGAAACAUCUAAGUACCCCGAGGAAAAGAAAUCAACCGAGAUUCCCCCAGUAGCGGCGAGCGAACGGGGAGCAGCCCGGAGUCUGAAUCAGCUUGUGUGUUAGUGGAACGGUCUGGAAAGUCCGACGGUACAGGGUGAUAGUCCCGUACACGAAAGCACACUUGCUGUGAACUCGAAGAGUAGGGCGGGACACGUGGUAUCCUGUCUGAAUAUGGGGGGACCAUCCUCCAAGGCUAAAUACUCCUGACUGACCGAUAGUGAACCAGUACCGUGAGGGAAAGGCGAAAAGAACCCCGGCGAGGGGAGUGAAAAAGAACCUGAAACCGUGUACGUACAAGCAGUGGGAGCCUCUUUAUGGGGUGACUGCGUACCUUUUGUAUAAUGGGUCAGCGACUUAUAUUCUGUAGCAAGGUUAACCGUAUAGGGGAGCCGAAGGGAAACCGAGUCUUAACUGGGCGUUAAGUUGCAGGGUAUAGACCCGAAACCCGGUGAUCUAGCCAUGGGCAGGUUGAAGGUUGGGUAACACUAACUGGAGGACCGAACCGACUAAUGUUGAAAAAUUAGCGGAUGACCUGUGGCUGGGGGUGAAAGGCCAAUCAAACCGGGAGAUAGCUGGUUCUCCCCGAAAGCUAUUUAGGUAGCGCCUCGUGAACUCAUCUUCGGGGGUAGAGCACUGUUUCGGCUAGGGGGCCAUCCCGGCUUACCAACCCGAUGCAAACUACGAAUACCGAAGAAUGUUAUCACGGGAGACACACGGCGGGUGCUAACGUCCGUCGUGAAGAGGGAAACAACCCAGACCGCCAGCUAAGGUCCCAAAGUCAUGGUUAAGUGGGAAACGAUGUGGGAAGGCACAGACAGCCAGGAUGUUGGCUUAGAAGCAGCCAUCAUUUAAAGAAAGCGUAAUAGCUCACUGGUCGAGUCGGCCUGCGCGGAAGAUGUAACGGGGCUAAACCAUGCACCGAAGCUGCGGCAGCGACGCUUAUGCGUUGUUGGGUAGGGGAGCGUUCUGUAAGCCGUUGAAGGUGUCCUGUGAGGGGUGCUGGAGGUAUCAGAAGUGCGAAUGCUGACAUAAGUAACGAUAAAGCGGGUGAAAAGCCCGCUCGCCGGAAGACCAAGGGUUCCUGUCCAACGUUAAUCGGGGCAGGGUGAGUCGACCCCUAAGGCGAGGCCGAAAGGCGUAGUCGAUGGGAAACAGGUUAAUAUUCCUGUACUUGGUGUUACUGCGAAGGGGGGACGGAGAAGGCUAUGUCAGCCGGGCGACGGUUGUCCCGGUUUAAGCAUGUAGGCGGAGGUUCCAGGUAAAUCCGGUACCUUAUUAACGCUGAGGUGUGAUGACGAGGCACUACGGUGCUGAAGUGAUAAAUGCCCUGCUUCCAGGAAAAGCCUCUAAGCAUCAGGUAACACGAAAUCGUACCCCAAACCGACACAGGUGGUCAGGUAGAGAAUACCAAGGCGCUUGAGAGAACUCGGGUGAAGGAACUAGGCAAAAUGGUGCCGUAACUUCGGGAGAAGGCACGCUGAUAUGUAGGUGAAGUCCCUGCGGACGGAGCUGAAAUCAGUCGAAGAUACCAGCUGGCUGCAACUGUUUAUUAAAAACACAGCACUGUGCAAACACGAAAGUGGACGUAUACGGUGUGACGCCUGCCCGGUGCCGGAAGGUUAAUUGAUGGGGUUAGCGGCAACGCGAAGCUCUUGAUCGAAGCCCCGGUAAACGGCGGCCGUAACUAUAACGGUCCUAAGGUAGCGAAAUUCCUUGUCGGGUAAGUUCCGACCUGCACGAAUGGCGUAAUGAUGGCCAGGCUGUCUCCACCCGAGACUCAGUGAAAUUGAACUCGCUGUGAAGAUGCAGUGUACCCGCGGCAAGACGGAAAGACCCCGUGAACCUUUACUAUAGCUUGACACUGAACACUGGUCCUUGAUGUGUAGGAUAGGUGGGAGGCUUUGAAGCGUGGACGCCAGUCUGCGUGGAGCCAACCUUGAAAUACCACCCUUUAAUGGCUGGUGUUCUAACGUAGACCCGUAAUCCGGGUUGCGGACAGUGUCUGGUGGGUAGUUUGACUGGGGCGGUCUCCUCCCAAAGAGUAACGGAGGAGCACGAAGGUUGGCUAAUCCUGGUCGGACAUCAGGAGGUUAGUGCAAUGGCAUAAGCCAGCUUGACUGCGAGCGUGACGGCGCGAGCAGGUGCGAAAGCAGGUCAUAGUGAUCCGGUGGUUCUGAAUGGAAGGGCCAUCGCUCAACGGAUAAAAGGUACUCCGGGGAUAACAGGCUGAUACCGCCCAAGAGUUCAUAUCGACGGCGGUGUUUGGCACCUCGAUGUCGGCUCAUCACAUCCUGGGGCUGAAGUAGGUCCCAAGGGUAUGGCUGUUCGCCAUUUAAAGUGGUACGCGAGCUGGGUUUAGAACGUCGUGAGACAGUUCGGUCCCUAUCUGCCGUGGGCGCUGGAGAAUUGAGGGGGGCUGCUCCUAGUACGAGAGGACCGGAGUGGACGCAUCACUGGUGUUCGGGUUGUCAUGCCAAUGGCACUGCCCGGUAGCUAAAUGCGGAAGAGAUAAGUGCUGAAAGCAUCUAAGCACGAAACUUGCCCCGAGAUGAGUUCUCCCUGAGACUUUAAGUCUCCUGAAGGAACGUUGAAGACGACGACGUUGAUAGGUCGGGUGUGUAAGCGCAGCGAUGCGUUGAGCUAACCGAUACUAAUGAACCGUGAGGCUUAACC